rnacentral:rRNA from 1 species
UGGGGAAUUUUGCGCAAUGGGCGAAAGCCUGACGCAGCAACGCCGCGUGUGUGACGAAGGCCCUAGGGUUGUAAAGCACUGUGGGAAGGGAAGAAAAAACGGGGGUUGUACCCCGUCUUGACGGUACCUUGUUAGAAAGCACCGGCUAACUCCGUGCCAGCAGCCGCGGUAAUACGGAGGGUGCAAGCGUUGUUCGGAAUUAUUGGGCGUAAAGGGCGUGUAGGUGGCUAUGCAAGUCUGGUGUGAAAGCCCACGGCUCAACCGUGGAACUGCAUUGGAAACUGCAUAGCUCGAGUGUUGGAGGGGGUCGCGGAAUUCCCGGUGUAGAGGUGAAAUUCGUAGAUAUCGGGAGGAACACCAGUGGCGAAGGCGGCGACCUGGCCAAUUACUGACACUGAGA